GUCCUAGCCGUAAACGAUGGGCACUAAGUAGGGGGGCUCCGAAGGCCUCCUUGCCGGAGCAAAUGUGUUAAGUGCCCCGCCUGGGGAGUAUGGUCGCAAGGCUGAAACUCAAAGGAAUUGACGGGGGCUCACACAAGCGGUGGAGCAUGUUGUUUAAUUCGAUGCAACGCGAAGAACCUUACCUGGGCUUGACAUGUAGGUGGUACUGAACCGAAAGGGGAGGGACCCUCUUUGAGGGAGCCUACACAGGUAUUGCAUGGCUGUCGU
rnacentral:rRNA from 1 species